CAGCUCGAGAUAGUUGACGCCUCAACGGAGGCUUAAAUUCUUGUAAUCUUUUACUUUCUUUCAGGCUUGUCAAGUCAUGUAAAGAUGAACUUUUUAUUUAAUGAAAUUUUUUUUUUACGUUUGAAGCCUUAUCUCAUCUUCUCUAAUUUUCUUGCACCUUCAUUUAUUUCUAUGGAGUCAAGCCAUUAUCAGUUUUGAGUAUGCUUGGCUAUUCACGAUAACGCUGAAUUGUUAUUGAAGAGCCUAGCUCGAUCUAUUGGGAUGCAAGUUGGGGUUCCUGAGGA
rnacentral:lncRNA from 1 species